GAGUUUGAUCCUGGCUCAGAUUGAACGCUGGCGGCAUGCCUUACACAUGCAAGUCGAACGGCAGCACGGGAGCUUGCUCCUGGUGGCGAGUGGCGAACGGGUGAGUAAUGCAUCGGAACGUAUCCUGGAGUGGGGAUAACGUAGCGAAAGUUACGCUAAUACCGCAUAUUCUGUGAGCAGGAAAGCGGGGGACCUUCGGGCCUCGCGCUCUUGGAGCGGCCGAUGUCGGAUUAGCUAGUUGGUGAGGUAAAGGCUCACCAAGGCGACGAUCCGUAGCAGGUCUGAGAGGAUGAUCUGCCACACUGGAACUGAGACACGGUCCAGACUCCUAC
rnacentral:rRNA from 1 species